rnacentral:rRNA from 1 species
UAUUGGGCCUAGAGCGUCCGUAGCCGGAUUGGAAAGUCUUCUGUGAAAUGUUGGGGCUUAACCCUAACGCGCGCAGUGGAUACUUCUAUGUCUUGGGAAUGGGGGAGGUUCGGAGUACUUCCAGGGUAGGGGUAAAACAGUUUUCAGUUUCCGGUUUCCGGUUCUGAAACAUUUUACAAUCCGUUGAUCCUGGAAGGACUACCAGUGACGAAGGCGCCGAACCAAAACAUGUCCGACGGUGAGGGACGAAAGCUGGGGGAGCGAACGGGAUUAGAUUUUGAAAACGUCGUUUUCAAACUUUCGUUGAAACUUCGUUUCAACUAAAUACCCCGGUAGUCCCAGCUGUAAAUGAUGCUGACUGUGGUGUUGCCUAUGAGUA